UGGUGAAGGCCUCUGCUUCAGUUAUGUAAGCAAAUGACAAUGUGGAGAGAGGGAGGAGACUCCAGCUGGGGAAGCUACCUGAACGCGGUGGAGCGAGAAGCUGCAGGCUGCAGCUUCCAAGUGGACUGGGGAAACCUCAGAGGCAUGCAUACUCCUGUAUCAAAAUAGUGACGCUGUCUUGUUUGGAGCUUCCACUCACUUAAUUGACUUCCAAACUUUCUCUCAGGCUGUGUGUGUCUUUACAAACUUGCAGACAAAGAAAGGUGUAUCUUAUUUUUAAAUCCAAUAUAAUCAUUGAGCCUUCAUCCAGCAACCAAUGGAAACAGAGGCAGAGACCCACAGCGGAG